rnacentral:rRNA from 1 species
UACGUAGGUGGCGAACGUUGUCCGGAUUUACUGGGUGUAAAGGGUGCUCAGGCGGUCUUGUAAGUCAGAGGUGAAAUCUCAAGGCUUAACCUUGAAACUGCCUUUGAUACUGCUGGGCUUGAGUACGGAAGAGGCGGAUGGAAUUCCAGGUGGAGCAGUGAAAUGCGUAGAUAUCAGGAGGAACACCGGUGGCGAAGGCGGUCCACUGGUCCGUUACCGACGCUAAAGCACGAAAGCGUGGGGAGCAAACAGG